rnacentral:misc_RNA from 1 species
UUUCCGUAGGUGAACCUGCGGAAGGAUCAUUAUCAAGUUACAGCGGAGGCGCCCUCGGGUGUCCUCCUGUCUGCAACCCUUGUCUUUUGCGUACUGUAUGUUUCCUCGGUGGGCUCGCCCGCCGAUAGGACAUUCAUAAACCCUUCGUAGUUGCAAUCAGCGUCAGAAAUAACUAUAAUAGUUACAACUUUCAACAACGGAUCUCUUGGUUCUG